rnacentral:misc_RNA from 1 species
AAAUUUUUGCCAAACAAAUCAAAUUUUCAUCCCCCUCACGCAAGAAGUAGGGACUCGGUGGAUGCAUAACUUCGCCCAAAAACCUGCUACAUCAUCGUAGUGAUUAACAAGCUUGUUCAAGUUCCUGCGGUCUAUUCUGCUGGCCCCAAAAACCUGCUACAUCAUCGUAGUGAUUAACAAGCUUGUUCAAGUUCCUGCGGUCUAUUCUGCUGGC